CCUACGGUGGGCAGCAGUGGGGGAUAUUGGACAAUGGGCGGAACCCUGAUCCAGCGACGCCGCGUGAGUGAAGAAGUAUUUCGGUAUGUAAAGCUCUGUCAGCAGGGAAGAAAGCAAUGACGGUACCUGACCAAGAAGCCCCGGCUAACUACGUGCCAGCCGCCGCGGUACUACGUAGGGGGCAAGGGUUAUCCGGAAUUACUGGGUGUAUAGGGAGCGUAGACGGCUGUGCAAGUCUGGAGUGAAGGGCUGGGGCCCAACCGCCGGACUGCUCUGGAAACUGGCUGGCUGGAGUGCAGGAGAGGUAAGCGGAAUUCCUAGUGUAGCGGUGAAAUGCGUAGAGAUUAGGAGGAACACCAGUGGCGAAGGCGGCUUACUGGACUGUAACUGACGUUGAGGCGCGAAAGCGUGGGGAGCAAACAGGAUUAGAUACCCGUGUAGUC
rnacentral:rRNA from 1 species